ACUACAGAUAUCAAGGUUAAUCUUUACGAAUUCAGGCAAUGCCAUCUUGGCAUUAGCGUCAAAUGCUGUCGCCUGCUCUGGAAGUGGCAGCGAAGUGACCGUAAUUCAACUGGCAAGGCAACUGCCAGUGUGCCACCUCAACUAUGGCAACCACCAAGUGGCAUUCUGAUGACCAAUGAAGUUUCAGACACAAACCCUGAAGAGGCUGUUUGUUGCUUUGCUUUGUCUAAGAAUGAUUCUUGCUUCUGGUGGAAAAAUUUCCCUCUUCAAUAUGAUGACAUUUAAGACAAUGGCUACUUUCAUGCACCACCUGCAGCCACGAUAUUUAUAAACAAAAAUGCUGGAAUUAGCUUGGACUAAAGGCAUUCUGUUUAGACAAAAAAUUUGGCUUGUUUUUAUUGUGUUUAUUUUAUCAUUCUCAUA